GGAUUAGUGUUAGUGUAUGGGUUAGGAUUAGGGUUAGGAAUAUGGACUGUUUAGGAUACAGAUUAGGGUAUGAAAAUGGUUUAGGUUUAGCAUACGUUUUAGGGUAUGGGUUAGUGUUAGUGUACGGGUUAGUAUUAGG